CGCACACUAAAGGGAGAGUGUAAAAGAGACCUGAAGGAGAUUACGAUGAGUUGGUUAAAUCCUCUCUCUACUUUCCUCUCCCAGUCUGUCUGCCUGCUGUUGCUGCUGUGUGUGUGAACAUCAGACAGACUAGUAAAUGUUCUCUCCUGCCAACACAGAGAUGAGAGCAUACUGUAGACAAAGACUCUUUCAAAUACCAUAUCCCUCUCUCUCGCUCAGUCUCUCUCUCUGUCUCUCGCUCAGUCUCUCUCUCUCUCUCUCUCUCUCUCUCUCUCUCAGUCUCUCUCAGUCUCUCUUAGUCUCUCUCUCUCUUUUAGUCUCUCUUCCUCUCUCUUUAGAUAUCUCUCUCUCUCUCUCUUUGUGUUUGUAUGUGUGUUCCUAUGUGUGUCCUUAGAUUGUGUCCUCUUAGAAUGGGAGCAACUCAUUAGGUUGUGUGUGGUUUUGUGGAGGAAUUCUUUAUGAGUCACAACAAUGUAACUGAUAUGACAGGGUUUGAUAUGUUGUGACUCAUAGUAACCUAACACUGUAACUGAUAUGACAGGGUUUGAUAUGUUGUGACUCAUAGUAACCUAACAAUGUAACUGAUAUGACAGGGUUUGAUAGGUUAUUAUGAGUAACAACACAACAAUGUAACUGAUAUGACAGGGUUUGAUAGGUUGCUAUGAGUCACAACAUAACAAUGUAACUGAUAUGACAGGGUUUGAUAGGUUAUUAUGAGUAACAACACAACACAACAAUGUAACUGAUAUGACAGUGUUUGAUAGGUUGCUAUGAGUUACACACAACAAUGUAACUGAUAUGACAGGGUUUGAUAGGUUGCUAUGAGUCACAACACAACAAUGUAACUGAUAUGACAGGGUUUGAUAGGUUGCUAUGAGUCACAACACAACAAUGUAACUGAUAUGACAGGGUUUGAUAGGUUGCUAUGAGUCACAACAUAACACUGCUUUCAUUGUAAAUGCAAACAGUAAAAAGUACAGGUAUGUUUAUCCCUGUUUCAUUCCGUUUGCUUCCGUUUAAGAAACGUGUUUCAACAGAAUCGGCGGAAUGAAAAAAAAUCAAAGCAAACUUAAACUCAAACUCAAAGCAAACUUUGUCACACGCGCCAAAUACAACAAGUGUAAACUUUACCAUGAAAUGCUUACUUACAAGCCCUUAACCAACAGUGCAGUUCAAUACAAUAAACCCCUGAUCACCGCUAAAACACAGUUCACUUUCUGAGCAGCCACAUACAAAACAGCAUGAUCAUUUGCUUUGUUGUAUAAUUCUUUCUCUCAUUUACGCGUUCUCCUCCUCUCACCUUAUCCCUUCGCUUGGGGACAUCAGUGCAUAAUACAACAGCUGUCUGUAACCAGGCAACACCAAAAAAAACUUUUCAAGCCAAACCUUCGUAUCAUAACCACAAUACACAGCCAACAUCGUUGUCACCAUAUUAGCUAAAGUAACGUUAUAGUCAACAUAGCAUGCUACUAGAACUAACUAAUAAACCCACUACGAUCUACAAUAGUCUAGGAGCGACAGGAACAUUGACUGAAUAAUCUGCUUUCAACUAUUUAGCGAGAAGCGGGAACUAUUUCUAUAGAAGAAGCCCAUGUUUAUUCUCAGCUUCUGAACUAACUCUGAACUAACUGAACUAUGCUCAGAUACUUGUAAGCAGGGACACGAUCAAUACGGACACCAUCCAGAGUACAUUAUGCUUUAAAAUCGCCAGAGUUAUGUUGAUGUGCUCUAGAGAACAACAUAUACCUGGUUAUACCUGCAAUCAGUACUAAUUUAAAAUCGUCAGAGUUAUGUUGAUGUGCUCUAGAGAACAACAUAUACCUGGUUAUACCUGCAUUCAGUACUAAUUUAAAAUCGCCAGAGUUAUGUUGAUGUGCUCUAGAGAACAACAUAUACCUGGUUAUACCUGCAUUCAGUACUAAUUUAAAAUCGCCAGAGUUAUGUUGAUGUGCUCUAGAGAACAACAUAUACCUGGUUAUACCUGCAUUCAGUACUAAUUUAAAAUCGCCAGAGUUAUGUUGAUGUGCUCUAGAGAACAACAUAUACCUGGUUAUACCUGCAUUCAGUACUAAUUUAAAAUCGCCAGAGUUAUGUUGAUGUGCUCUAGAGAACAACAUAUACCUGGUUAUACCUGCAUUCAGUACUAAUUUAAAAUCGCCAGAGUUAUGUUGAUGUGCUCUAGAGAACAACAUAUACCUGGUUAUACCUGCAUUCAGUACUAAUUUAAAAUCGUCAGAGUUAUGUUGAUGUGCUCUAGAGAACAACAUAUACCUGGUUAUACCUGCAUUCAGUACUAAUUUCAGGUCAAUAAAGUUUUUUCUGUAUUACGAUGAAGGCAGACUGUAGUUCAGAUCGAGCCUGGUCAACCGUGGGGGGCAAUAGCAUACACAACAGUAUCAUCGGUAUCCAAGUGCGGGUAAAACUUUUUUUUUUUUACAGACACGUUGACAUUGUUAAUGCAAACAGUAAAAAGUACAGGACCCAGGAUCGACCCCUGCGGGACACCUUUCAUAAUAUCCAGAAAACCUGAUUUUACACCAUCAGUAGAUACACCUUGAGAUCUAUCUGUCGAGUCAUUUUUAAACCAGUUACAUGCAGUAUGGUCUAGGCCAAUGGAGGAAAGCCUCUGAACUAGCAGUGAGUGAUUAACAGUAUACAAAGACUUUGACAGAGAGGGCAGCACAAUGUUGCCUUUAAUCCAUUAACCUCAUCAUUUAUAACUAGAGAUGCAGCAGAGACAGUGCUACGACCUGGUCUCAAACCCGACUGAUGUACAUUUAGAACACAUUUCAAAGAUAAUAAAGAUUUUAGCUGAAUCAAGGAUUCUAAUAUUUUUUGCUAGGCAACAAAGUUUAGAAUUAGGGUGAUCAUCAAUUAGGUCACAAGGGUCACCAACUUUUGUGAAGGGGGAGGUACAUGGACCACGUUCCAAACCUUGGGGAUAGUACCAGAUAUCAUCGUCAGGUUAGGGGGGAUACAUGGACCCCGUUCCAAACCUUGGGGAUAGUACCAUAUAUCAUCAUCAGGUUAGGGGGAGUACAUGAACCACAUUCCAAACCUUGGGGAUAGUACCAGAUAUCAUCGUCGGGUUAGGGGGGGGGUACAUGGACCCCGUUCCAAACCUUGGGGAUAGUACCAGAUAUCAUCAUCAGGUUAGGGGGGGGGGGUACAUGGACCCCCUUCCAAACCUUGGGGAUAGUACCAGAUAUCAUCGUCGGGUUAGGGGGGGUACACGGACCCCCUUCCAAACCUUGGGGAUAGUACCAGAUAUCAUCGUCGGGUAAAACAUCAGGGUAAAUGAUUCAGGGGGGCAGAGAGCGGCAGCAGAAACAGAUCAAGCACAUCAGCCCCAGUGGAUUUUGUUUACAUCCAUCUUAAGCGAGGGGUCAGGCACAUCACAGAGAGCACAUUGCUCAAAUGAAAACCAAUAUUCACUGGAAGUUGCCGCGGUAACCGUCGUCGCUCAGAAGGAAUCCAAGCGUCAGAUCUGUCUUUGACUUUGAAAUUCUCUAGAGCCAUCUCAGGGUCAGGAAUACAAGAGACAGUGGCUCAAUCAGAGUACAACACAUCCUGUAAAAAAAAACCCUUGAGGAGAGAGCUUUAUCAAAUGUCUCUUCAGUGGUUUGAUUGUUGGACUAGUAACCGGAAGGCUGCAAGUUCAAAUCCCAGAGCUGACAAGGUACAAAUCUGUAAUUCUGCCCCUGAACAGUUAAUCCACUGUUCCU
rnacentral:lncRNA from 1 species